UAUGGAAGAAUCCCUUGAGCCCAGGAGUUGGAGGCUGCGGUGAGCUACGAUUGCACCAGUGCACUCCAGCUUGGGUGACAGAGCGAGACCCUGUCUCCAAAAAAAAAAAAAAAAAAAAAAAGAUGAGGAAAUCGCCCGAGGAUGGAUCCGACUUGUGGUUUCAAUGGAGCCCUCAUUCUUCUCUUCACUUACCCUCUCCGUGAGGAGGAAGCCAGUGCACAUCAAGCGUUUCCUGUGUAGCACAGACUCUUCUCCCAAACAUCUUUGCAUUCUGCACUGGUGAGGGCCAGUGGUGCCACACCAAUGUCCCAAUUCACCUUGGGAACGUCCUUGAGCGCAUUUCUUUUUGUCUGUAGAAGUAAAAGAGUAGAACUGAAUGCCGAAGCCAGCAAGCUGUUGGAACCUUGGAAACGCAGAGGGCAUGAAGGCUGAGUCCGGGGUCCUACAGUCAGAGGCUCGCAUUCAAAUCUUGCC
rnacentral:lncRNA from 10 species